rnacentral:rRNA from 1 species
AUUGAACGCUGGCGGCAGGCCUAACACAUGCAAGUCGAGCGGAUGAAGGGAGCUUGCUCCUGGAUUCAGCGGCGGACGGGUGAGUAAUGCCUAGGAAUCUGCCGGGUAGUGGGGGAUAACGUCCGGAAACGGGCGCUAAUACCGCAUACGUCCUGAGGGAGAAAGUGGGGGUUCUUCGGACCUCACGCUAUCAGAGGAGCCUAGGUCGGAUUAGCUAGUUGGUGGGGUAAAGGCCUACCAAGGCGACGAUCCGUGACUGGUCUGAGUGGAUGAUCAGUCACACUGGAACUGCGACACGGUCCAGACUCCUACGGGAGGCAGCAGUGGGGAAUAUUGGACAAUGGGCGAAAGCCUGAUCCAGCCAUGCCGCGUGUGUGAAGAAGGUCUUCGGAUUGUAAAGCACUUUAAGUUGGGAGGAAGGGCAGUAAGUUAAUACCUUGCUGUUUUGACGUUACCAACAGAAUAAGCACCGGCUAACUUCGUG